rnacentral:rRNA from 1 species
CCCUUAGAUGUUCUGGGCAGCACGCGCGCUACAAUGGUCUUCGCAAACGGAUGCAUUCUCGAAGGAGAAUGCCAAUCUUGGAAUCUAUGCCUUGGUCGGGACAGUUGCUUGCAAUUUUUCGACUCGAACCAGGAAUUCCUUGUAAUCGUGAUUCAUCACAUCACGAUGAAUACGUCCCUGCCCUUUGUACACACCGCCCGUCUCUCCUACCGAUCGAAGAGUUAGGUGAAUUGUUUUGAUCGAUAAGAUUUGACUAUGGUCAACUCUCGUUGUGAAAUUCUGUGAAUCUGACUGUUUAGAGGAAGGAAAAGUCGUAACA